CCCAAAAAAAAAAAAAGGCAUAGGUAACCCAUAAAGGUUACAAAAGGCACUUUUCUUCAAGCUUAGACAAUGAAAUAUAAAUUGGUCAACCUUCCUAAUAUUUUUAGAAAAAGGCUUUAUAAUGGCAAACUAACAUACACCUCAUAUACCGGCUCAAAAAUAAAUAUCAUAAGUUUCAUAUCUUCUACAUUUAUAGUUUAAUUUUAUCUAGUUUUCUCCCUUUUUUAUUCCUUAUUGAUUUUUUAAAAAUUUUUUCUUAAAUUAUUUUGCAGGUGUCAAUAUGCCAAUGACUAAAAAGUUUUUUUUUUAAUAUUUCAUGUUCGUUCCUAAUUUUUUUUAACUCUUACUUUUUUUUCUUAAUUUUCUAAAUGUUAGUUUCAUUUAAACUUUGUUUACCAUAAUGAGAGCUGGCACCAUCAUGAAAUAUUUUCUUAGUAUUUUAUCCUAUUACAAUUUUUUUAAUUAAUUUUAACUAUUUUUACUAUUCUCAACAUUUUUUUUCCCUUUUA
rnacentral:misc_RNA from 1 species